UUUGUACUCCCUCCGUUCUACAAUACAUGCAUUUUAUUUGUCAAAAUAUAAAUGUAUUUAAACAUGUUUUAGUAUGUAGGUGCAUCCAUUUUUAAACAAAUUGAAAUCAAGUAUUUUAAAAUGGAGGGAGUACUAU
rfam:Triticum urartu cultivar G1812 contig168324, whole genome shotgun sequence.